rnacentral:rRNA from 1 species
AGUGAACGCUGGCGGUAGGCCUAACACAUGCAAGUCGAACGGCAGCACAGUAAGAGCUUGCUCUUACGGGUGGCGAGUGGCGGACGGGUGAGGAAUACAUCGGAAUCUACUUUUUCGUGGGGGAUAACGUAGGGAAACUUACGCUAAUACCGCAUGCGACCUACGGGUGAAAGCAGGGGAUCUUCGGACCUUGCGCGAUUGAAUGAGCCGAUGUCGGAUUAGCUAGUUGGCGGGGUAAAGGCCCACCAAGGCGACGAUCCGUAGCUGGUCUGAGAGGAUGAUCAGCCACACUGGAACUGAGACACGGUCCAGACUCCUACGGGAGGCAGCAGUGGGGAAUAUUGGACAAUGGGCGCAAGCCUGAUCCAGCCAUACCGCGUGGGUGAAGAAGGCCUUCGGGUUGUAAAGCCCUUUUGUUGGGAAAGAAAAGCAGCAGGUUAAUACCCCGCUGUUCCGACGGUACCCAAAGAAUAAGCACCGGCUAACUUCGUG